CCUACGGGGGGCAGCAGUGAGGAAUAUUGGUCAAUGGGCGGAAGCCUGAACCAGCCAAGCCGCGUGAGGGAUGAAGGUACAGAGUAUCGUAAACCUCUUUUGUCAGGGAACAAAGGCGGGGACGUGUCCCCGGAUGAGUGUACCUGAAGAAAAAGCAUCGGCUAACUCCGUGCCAGCAGCCGCGGUAAUACGGGGGAUGCGAGCGUUAUCCGGAUUUAUUGGGUUAAAAGGGUGCGCAGGCGGUCUGUUAAGUCAGCGGUCAAAGCACGGGGCUCAACCCCGGCCCGCCGUUGAAACUGGCAGUCUCGAGUUGGAGAGAAGUAUGCGGAAUGCGCGGUGUAGCGGUGAAAUGCAUAGAUAUCGCGCAGAACUCCGAUUGCGAAGGCAGCAUGCCGGCUCCACACUGACGCUGAGGCACGAAAGCGUGGGUAUCGAACAGGAUUAGAUACCCUGGUAGUC
rnacentral:rRNA from 1 species